CAGGACGAACGCUGGCGGCGUGCUUAAUACAUGCAAGUCGAGCGGGGUUACUGCGACAGAUCCCUUCGGGGUGACGUUGCUUUAACCUAGCGGCGGACGGGUGAGUAACGCGUGGGUAACCUACCCUAAAGCUCGGGAUAACAGUGGGAAACCGCUGCUAAUACCGGAUGACUUUAACCUAUGGCAUCAUGGGUUGAAGAAAGAUUUAUCGCUUUAGGAUGGGCCCGCGUCCCAUUAGCUAGUUGGUGAGGUAACGGCUCACCAAGGCGACGAUGGGUAGCCGGCCUGAGAGGGUGUACGGCCACACUGGGACUGAGACACGGCCCAGACUCCUACGGGAGGCAGCAGUAGGGAAUAUUGCGCAAUGGACGGAAGUCUGACGCAGCGACGCCGCGUGAGCGAUGAAGGCCUUCGGGUCGUAAAGCUCUGUCCUUGGGGAAGAAGGUCUUCGGACUUGACGGUACCCAAGAAGAAAGCCCCGGCUAACUACGUGCCAGCAGCCGCGGUAAUACGUAGGGGGCGAGCGUUGUCCGGAAUUACUGGGCGUAAAGGGUGCGUAGGCGGCCCUUUAAGUCAGAUGUGAAAGGCCACGGCUUAACCGUGGGAUUGCAUUUGA
rnacentral:rRNA from 1 species